CCCUACGGGGUGCAGCAGGCGCGAAACUUUCCCAAUGCACGCAAGUGUGAGGAAGGAAUCUGGAGUGCAUUCUCUUUUAUAGGGGAUGCUUUUGUGGAGUGUAAAUAGCUCCAAGAAUAAGUGGUGGGUAAGACGGGUGCCAGCCGCCGCGGUAAUACCCGCGCCACGAGUGAUAACCACGAUUAUUGGGCUUAAAGCGUUCGUAGCCGGCCCAGAAAGUCCUUAGUGAAAUCCCAUAGCUAACUAUGGGGCUUGCUAGGGAAACUUUUGGACUUGGAACCGGGAGAGGUCUGGGGUACUCAAGGGGUAGGGGUAAAAUCCUGUAAUCCUUUGGGGACCACCUGUUGCGAAGGCGCCAGACCAGAACGGAUUCGACGGUGAGGGACGAAAGCCAGGGGAGCAAAGGGGAUUAGAUACCCCCGUAGUCCUGGCUGUAAACGAUGCCCACUAGACAUUGGCAAUCUUACGUGGGUUGUCAGUGUCGUAGCGAAAGCGUUAAGUGGGCCGCCUGGGGAGUACGGUCGCAAGGCUGAAACUUAAAGGAAUUGGCGGGGGAGCAC
rnacentral:rRNA from 1 species